rnacentral:rRNA from 1 species
UCCGUAGGUGAACCUGCGGAGGGAUCAUUACACAAAUAUGAAGGCGGGCUGGAACCUCUCGGGGUUACAGCCUUGCUGAAUUAUUCACCCUUGUCUUUUGCGUACUUCUUGUUUCCUUGGUGGGUUCGCCCACCACUAGGACAAACAUAAACCUUUUGUAAUUGCAAUCAGCGUCAGUAACAAAUUAAUAAUUACAACUUUCAACAACGGAUCUCUUGGUUCUGGCAUCGAUGAAGAACGCAGCGAAAUGCGAUAAGUAGUGUGAAUUGCAGAAUUCAGUGAAUCAUCGAAUCUUUGAACGCACAUUGCGCCCUUUGGUAUUCCAAAGGGCAUGCCUGUUCGAGCGUCAUUUGUACCCUCAAGCUUUGCUUGGUGUUGGGCGUCUUGUCUCUAGCUUUGCUGGAGACUCGCCUUAAAGUAAUUGGCAGCCGGCCUACUGGUUUCGGAGCGCAGCACAAGUCGCACUCUCUAUCAGCAAAGGUCUAGCAUCCAUUAAGCCUUUUUUUCAACUUUUGACCUCGGAUCAGGUAGGGAUUACCCGCUGAACUAAGCAUAUCAAUAAGCGGAGGA